AAGAGACGUUGCCCUUCGGGGUAUACCUCCCACCCUUUGUUUAUUAUACCUUUGUUGCUUUGGCGGGCCCGUCCUCGGACCACCGGCUUCUGCUGGUCAGUGCCCGCCAGAGGACCUAAAACUCUGUUUGUUAAUAUUGUCUGAGUACUAUAAUAGUUA
rnacentral:misc_RNA from 1 species